rnacentral:lncRNA from 1 species
AAAGAAAAAUGUAUAUGGUCUUACGAAUCUGAAUUACCUACAUAGCAACUAUUUUAUUAAAAAUCUCAAAAUUUUGCAUCAACUUUUUUGUAAAAAGUUUUUCUUGAAAAUUAUUUUUUUCAUAUCCAAUCGUAGAGUUAAAUGCAUAAUGUUAAUUUAAAAUUAUACCACGUGAUACAUGCUGAAUUUCAGGAAAAACAGCAUCAAUUCUAUUAAAUUUUUAAGCAGUUACAAUUUGCAAUGCAUGUUUACAAUUUCGAAAAAACGUUAUCCCAGAAUUAUGACGAAAAAAAUCUGUACUCGUGAUUUUAUUUUUUUAACAUGUUAACAAGAGAUUAUUUGAAAAU